CGGGGUGCACCAGGCGCGAAAACUUUGCAAUGCGGGAAACCGUGACAAGGGAACUCUGAGUGCCCGUUAAAUCGGGCUGUCCAUCGGUUUAAAUAACCGGUGAAGAAAGGGCCGGACAAGACCGGUGCCAGCCGCCGCGGUAAUACCGGCGGCUCGAGUGGUGGCCACUAUUACUGGGCUUAAAGCGUUCGUAGCUGGUUUGUUAAGUCUCUGGGGAAAUCUUCCGGCUUAACCGGAAGGCGUCUCAGGGAUACUGGCAGACUAGGGACCGGGAGAGGUGAGAGGUACUCCAGGGGUAGGAGUGAAAUCCUGUAAUCCUUGGGGGACCACCUGUGGCGAAGGCGUCUCACCAGAACGGCUCCGACAGUGAGGGACGAAAGCUGGGGGAGCAAACCGGAUUAGAUACCCGGGUAGUCCCAGCUGUAAACGAUGCGCGUUAGGUGUAUCGGUGACCACGAGUCACCGAGGUGCCGAAGAGAAAUCGUGAAACGUGCCGCCUGGGAAGUACGGUCGCAAGGCUGAAACUUAAAGGAAUUGGCGGGGGAGC
rnacentral:rRNA from 1 species